rnacentral:lncRNA from 10 species
GUUCCAUGGAAAUAUUAAAAUUUUUUUAAAAAAUAAAAAUAGGCUGGGUGUGGUGGUUCAUGCCUGUAAUCCUAGCACUUUGGGAGGCCAAGGUGGGCGGAUCACCUGAGGUCAGGUGUUCGAGACCAGCCUCCCCAAUAUGGUGAAACCCCGUCUCUACUAAAAAUACAAAAAUUAGCCAGGUGUGGUGGCGGGCGCCUGUAGUCCCAGCUACUCGGGAGGCUGACACAGGAGUAUUGCUUGAACCCAGGAAGUGGAGGCUGCAGUGAGCCGAGAUCGCACCACUGCACUCCAGCCUGGGCAACAAAGUGAGACUCUGUCUCAAAAAAUAAAUUAAUUAAAUUAAAUUAAUUAGUUGGGUGUGGUGGCAUGUGUCUGUGGUCCCAGCUACUUGGGAGGCUGAGGUGGGAGGAUCACUUGAGUCCAGAAGGUCAAGGCUGUCAUGAGCUGCUGGAGUGCAGUGUGCUAUCAUACAUAGCUCACUGCAGUCUCCAACUCCUCAUACCAGAGGCAUGUGUCACCAUGUCUUACUCCUAAAAUGCAUUUUUAAAAAGCGAAUUUUUAGAUUAAAGUGCCUAGUUUCUGAUUAAUAAAUAGAAGAUGAAAAAAGUGGGCGGGAAAAGCAUAAUCUUUUAAGAUUUGUAAUUUUCUGUAUGUGCCACAUUUAUGUAAAUUAACUAUAAAAUAUGGAAUUCAGGAUCAUGCUGUUUUGCAUGUACUUUAUAGGUUAUAUAGCAUGAAACAUACAAAUUAUCACUGUUCUUUAGUAUAUAGCUCCUUGCCUUUUCUUACAUAGAUGCUUAAUUUAACAAUUACCUAUUUAUAGUUCUUAUUAUUGACGGGAAUAUGAUUAGAAGUACCAAAACUAAAAAUUCCAUUAUGUACUGUUUACUUUUUAUUUAAUAUUACAUGUUUUUACCUUGUUGCGGUAUCUUUGGCCUUCACACACACAUGUGUGCGUGCACGUGCAUUUCAUUACCAUGUAGACAAGACAGUUAUUGCUUAUAGUAAUUUACCCAUUUGAGGGCUAAGUGUUUUAAGCUGUGGUUUUAUAAGCAAAGCUGUAAGUAAAUGUAAUUUAUUUUAGAAAGAUAUUAUUUGAAAUCAAUUUUGAAGAAUUGCACUAUUUGAUAAUGCUGCUACUACAUGAGAUAACUCUGGGGAAUUAAUUUUAUGAGAUAAGAUGAAUGGCUUUCUAGAAGGUGUUGCUUUUUGUUUUUUCUUUUUCUUUUUUACAUUUCAUCUUAGAAAAAGUUGCUUAUAUUCAGCAGGUUGGUUUGUCAAAUUCAGUGUUUGAGUUUGUUUCUGGUCAGUUCAGUAGCUGCUACUUUAGCAAGAUGUGGCCUUUCACAAAAGAGGUAAGAGUGACCAAAUAGAAUUUUAGGACAAUAAGUAUAGGAAAUAUCUCUUUAUCGUAAGAUAAGAAACUUGAACUUUUUAAAGGAAAUGUCCUCUUGAAAAGAACAUUUCUGACUGCAUGCAGAAGGGUACUUAAGACAUAUAUAACAGGCCAGGAGCAGUGGCUCACGCCUGUAAUCCCAGCACUUUGGGAGGCCCAAGUGGGCAGAUAACCUGAGGUCAGGAGUUUGAGACCAGCCUGACCAACAUGGUGAAACCCCAUCUCUACU